AAUAUUGCACAAUGGGCGAAAGCCUGAUGCAGCGACGCCGCGUGAGGGAUGACGGCCNNNGGGUUNUCAACCUCUUUCAGUAGNGAANAAGCGAAAGUGACGGUACCUGCAGAAGAAGCGCCGGCUAACUACGUGCCAGCAGCCGCGGUAAUACGUAGGGCGCAAGCGUUAUCCGGAUUUAUUGGGCGUAAAGAGCUCGUAGGCGGUUUGUCGCGUCUGCCGUGAAAGUCCGAGGCUCAACCUCGGAUCUGCGGUGGGUACGGGCAGACUAGAGUGAUGUAGGGGAGACUGGAAUUCCUGGUGUAGCGGUGAAAUGCGCAGAUAUCAGGAGGAACACCGAUGGCGAAGGCAGGUCUCUGGGCAUUUACUGACGCUGAGGAGCGAAAGCAUGGGGAGCGAAC
rnacentral:rRNA from 1 species